GAUGAGUAGGGCGGGACACGUGGUAUCCUGUCUGAAUAUGGGGGGACCAUCCUCCAAGGCUAAAUACUCCUGACUGACCGAUAGUGAACCAGUACCGUGAGGGAAAGGCGAAAAGAACCCCGGCGAGGGGAGUGAAAAAGAACCUGAAACCGUGUACGUACAAGCAGUGGGAGCACGCUUAGGCGUGUGACUGCGUACCUUUUGUAUAAUGGGUCAGCGACUUAUAUUCUGUAGCAAGGUUAACCGAAUAGGGGAGCCGAAGGGAAACCGAGUCUUAACUGGGCGUUAAGUUGCAGGGUAUAGACCCGAAACCCGGUGAUCUAGCCAUGGGCAGGUUGAAGGUUGGGUAACACUAACUGGAGGACCGAACCGACUAAUGUUGAAAAAUUAGCGGAUGACUUGUGGCUGGGGGUGAAAGGCCAAUCAAACCGGGAGAUAGCUGGUUCUCCCCGAAAGCUAUUUAGGUAGCGCCUCGUGAAUUCAUCUCCGGGGGUAGAGCACUGUUUCGGCAAGGGGGUCAUCCCGACUUACCAACCCGAUGCAAACUGCGAAUACCGGAGAAUGUUAUCACGGGAGACACACGGCGGGUGCUAACGUCCGUCGUGAAGAGGGAAACAACCCAGACCGCCAGCUAAGGUCCCAAAGUCAUGGUUAAGUGGGAAACGAUGUGGGAAGGCCCAGACAGCCAGGAUGUUGGCUUAGAAGCAGCCAUCAUUUAAAGAAAGCGUAAUAGCUCACUGGUCGAGUCGGCCUGCGCGGAAGAUGUAACGGGGCUAAACCAUG
rnacentral:rRNA from 1 species